GCAGUGAGGACAUGAGUACCAGUCAGAUGAUAAAAGUAUACAGUACCACAAUGUUUCUUGAUCAAAUAAUAAUUGCCAUUCAGAUCACAAAUGGGUAGUAAUCCAUUCCUGAACAUCAUGGCAAGAAACUCCACUUGUUUACUAAUAAUAUGUAUUUUAUGAUCACUCUGGUGUUCAGAGUAAAGUGAGAGCGAGAACAUCUGGAUGCCGACAGGGCAGAAAAAGCAGGUGACAUGGAGGUGAGUGACAAAAGGAGCAAAUAUUGAAUACUGAUCUAUCGCCAUCUUGGUUAAUGUUGGGACAACUGAGGAUAGGUUUAGGCACAGGUAUCACUGAGGUUAGGUUUAGGCACAGGUAUCACUGAGGUUAAGUUUAGGCACAGCUGUGUAUGAGGUUAGGCUUAAGUCAAAGGGUGGGGGGCAGGGGAACAUUAUAGUCUUUCGACUGGGGUAACACUAUAGACAGGUCAGUUGCAAUGAUGGUGGAGCAACAUGAAUUAUGUCGUAGGAACAACAUCAACCUGGCGCUAAAAGAUUGCAAAUGCUGAUGGUUAAUAGUCUUUUUUUUUCUGGGGGACCCCUAGACUUCCUGGCAGACCCCUACACCAUGGCAACAGCUGUGUUCUAAAGAAUCUGUUCACCGGAGGUGUGGCUUAUUGUAUCACCGCCUCCGACUGACGGCAGUCAGCAAUUCCACUGAAGCACUGGUGAUCUCAAAAGUGUACGGACAUGUAGCAACCUUUCGGAGAACAGUGAAGUCUGGGCAGAUGAAAGACACAGUCUCCUUAUGUUUGGAUAAUCUAUAAGAACAUACAGUGUGGAAGGGAAAUGUUGCCCAAACACUUAUGCGGGUCAUGUUUUGUAGUGGUUUGAACCUCAAGCUCUGUUUCUGUCUCACAAUGACAGCUAGGACUAGAUACCACACAUUUGCAUGACAUCUGAGGUAGAUUGUGUCACAAGUCCUGCCUUGGAGAAACCAGUUACCCACAAAGCUGGAUAGUUUGGAUUUUGAGAAGUUAUGACUUUUCUGCAUGCUUAGUGGUCAAGUGAUUAUCGAGUCAAAAUCUUUCAUUGUAAAAGUUGUGGGUUCUCAAGUUCUGCAAG
rnacentral:lncRNA from 1 species